UAGGGAAUUUUGCGCAAUGGGCGAAAGCCUGACGCAGCAACGCCGCGUGAGUGAUGAAGGUCUUCGGAUUGUAAAGCUCUGUUGAGUGGGAAGAAAAGUCAUGGUGCUAAUCAGCUGUGAUCUGACGGUACCACUCGAGUAAGCCCCGGCUAACUACGUGCCAGCAGCCGCGGUAAUACGUAGGGGGCAAGCGUUGUUCGGAAUCACUGGGCGUAAAGGGAGCGUAGGCGGAUCUAUAAGUUAGAAGUUUAAAUCGCAGGCUUAACCUGCGUGUGGCUUCUAAUACUGUAGGUCUUGAGUAUGAAAGAGGGAGAUGGAAUUCCAGGUGUAGCGGUGGAAUGCGUAGAUAUCUGGAAGAACACCAGCAGCGAAGGCGGUCUCCUGGUUCAAUACUGACGCUGAGGCUCGAAAGUUAGGGGAGCAAACAGG
rnacentral:rRNA from 1 species